rnacentral:rRNA from 1 species
GGUUAAGCACUUAAGGUGUGGAGCCGUAGCGAAAGCGAGUUUUAACUGAGCGUUCAGUUACUUGACGUAGACCCGAAACCGGGCGACCUACCCAUGAGCAGGAUGAAGCGAAAGUAAAAUUUCGUGGAGGUCCGAACCCACGAGCGUUGAAAAGCUCGGGGAUGACUUGUGGGUAGCGGUGAAAUUCCAAUCGAGCCCGGAGAUAGCUGGUUCUCCCCGAAAUAGCUUUAGGGCUAGCCUCAAGGUGAGAGAUACGGAGGUAGAGCACUGAAUGUCCUAGGGGGUAUUGCACCUACCGAAGACUAUCAAACUCCGAAUGCCGUCAUCUUAUACUUGGGAGUCAGACUGUGGGUGAUAAGAUUCAUAGUCGAAAGGGCAACAGCCCAGAUCGUCAGCUAAGGUCCCUAAAUGUAAGUUAAGUGGUAAAGGAUGUGGGAUUGCACAGACAACCAGGAUGUUGGCUUAGAAGCAGCCACUCAUUCAAAGAGUGCGUAAUAGCUCACUGGUCGAGUGAUCCUGCGCCGAAGAUUUCCGGGGCUAAAACUUACUACCGAAGCUACGGCAUCAGUAAUGAUGGGUAGGGGAGCUU